rnacentral:lncRNA from 1 species
AUGCAGCCGGUGAGCUUGUUGUUGAGGAAGAGCAGCUCCCUUACACCGGCCCCUGUGUAGCCGAAACUAGCCGGGAUGGAGCCCGUGAGCCUGUUGUUGGCCAGGCUGAUGACGGAGGCCGGCGAGCUCCACAGGCUCAUGGGGAUCUGUCCCUCGAAGUGGUUGUUGUUGAGGAAGAUGGCGUCGAGGUCCAUCGAGAAGAGCUCGUCGGGAACCUCCCCCGAGAAACUGUUGAAUCGGAGGUCGAGGUAGACCAAGCUAGGCAUGUACAGAAUAGGAGUUGGGAAAGGCCCCGAGAAGUGGUUGUUGCUGAGAUCGAUCUCUGUGAGGGACUCGAGACCCCUGAACGCGUCAGGGACCGUCCCAGAGAACCUGUUGCUGUUAAGGUGAAGGAUGGAGAGAUCGGUUAAAAGGGCGAGCUCCUUCACCAGGGUGCCCUGGAGGUUUGCCUUGUUCAGAUCUAUGGCUGAGACGACGCGCCCCGGCGAGGAGGGGGAGAACGGCAGGCCCUCCGCCGGCGGAGUGGAGCAGAAGACACCCCUGUAGGAGCAGACAUUGGGGCCGACCCAGUUGGCGAGGACCCCCGAAGGGUCCCCAGUGAUGGCGGACUUGAAAGCCUGCAGCGCCGCGUACUCCCCGCUGGAUGAAGGCUCCGACGAACCCCCCGGCGGCGGGUUCUGGGUAGAGACACCCACCCCUCCGUUCACCCAGACACCGAGGCCGCCCCCAUUGCCGAACCCAAGGAAGGCCGACGCCUGGGGAGAGGCCUCCCCGCAGAGGAGGAAGAAGAGGAGAAGAGGCAAGCAGCAACCGGUGGGCAU